rnacentral:sRNA from 1 species
UCCUAGCCCCGAUAGGAGUGGAAAUCCUUUUGUGACGGGGUUCGCCACAAAAGAUUGGAACGGAUAGCGGGAUUAGCU